UAAAGAAUAUUGCUCAAUGGGAGAAAUCCUGAAGCAGCAACGCCGCGUGGAGGAUGAAGGGUCUAUGACUUGUAAACUCCUGUAAAGAAGGAAAAAAUUCCCAUUAGAUGGGAGAUGAUGGUACUUCUGGAGUAAGCCCCGGCUAACUACGUGCCAGCAGCCGCGGUAAUACGUAGGGGGCAAGCGUUGUCCGGAUUUACUGGGUGUAAAGGGUGCUCAGGCGGAUUUGUAAGUCAGAGGUGAAAUCUUACAGCUUAACUGUGAAACUGCCUUUGAUACUGCAAGCCUAGAGUAUGGAAGAGAGUGAUGGAAUAUCUGGUGUAGCAGUGAAAUGCGUAGAUAUCAGAUAGAACACCAAUGGCGAAGGCAGUCACUUGGUCCAUUACUGACGCUAAAGCACGAAAGCGUGGGUAGCAAACA
rnacentral:rRNA from 1 species